rnacentral:lncRNA from 1 species
GGCUUAGAGAAGGCCAAACACCACUAAAAGAGCCACAUGAUCCUCUACUUUGAUUUUGCAGCAGCAAGAUACUUUGUGUGUUUAUCUUUGUUGUAUGCCACUGCCACUCUUGAAGAGCAACAUCACCAAUUAGGUUACUCCACUUCUGCUUCACUUGUUUGUCUCACAAAUUAUCACUUCUGCUUCUGUUUCUCAAAUAAGUACACACUUGUGCUACCCUGCACAAAUCUGAUGGUGGAAGGAGCUCAAGAAUGACAUCCAAGAUACACCCUGGCAAAUCCAAGAGAGAAAUCUUACAGUCUUCUUGUUUCUCAAAUUUUGGUAGAGAGUUCUUGUGGAGAGACAUGGUUAUAAUUUUGUGGUAACCUUAAAGAAAGCAAAGAGUUUGAUAUAAUUUUGAUGAUUCUACUACACAAAGCAACAUGAGUAGCGAAUGUUUCCUCAUUAAUAAGGAAUUUUAUAGGGUGGUUAAGUAUGCCAAUUUGUGAUCCUAAAAAAAAGUGGGGAGGGGCGGGUUGACCCACAAAUUAAAAUGGGUUGACCCACUUAAGGUGAGCUGACCCACUAUAAAAUUAAAAAUUGAAAAAAAUAAAUAGUGUGAUGUAAAAUUAACGAGUUUCGAGUUUCUCGGCCAAAACUUGCUCAAAACAUAACAAACACAAAAACAUUUGUUUAAGGAAAUAAAGCUCCAUCGUUGGCUAGCUCGGGUGGUUGGUCGGUUGGACGAGUUUAUGAAUUGAAUCAUCUAACUCAUUAGACUUUCUUGGCGGGUUAACUGGAUUGAUGUGUUAGGUCAAAGCCAUUUUUCCGAUAAAGUUACUUUGUUCAUUAACUUAAUGUGUUUUAUCUACAAAUUAAAAGUCACAUAGCAUGUGACCUAAUGUACAUCCAUAUAUAGUCACAUGCACACAUACAUGUGACUUUUUUACAAGUUAAUUACACAACAUUUUUAUUUGGUGAGACUAUUAAAUAAAUUUCAAUGUUAAUCAUAUAUAUAUAUAUAUAUAUAUAAUGUAUUUUAUAAAAAAAAGUUUUUAUNNNNNNNNNNNNNNNNNNNNNNNNNNNNNNNNNNNNNNNNNNNNNNNNNNNNNNNNNNNNNNNNNNNNNNNNNNNNNNNNNNNNNNNNNNNNNNNNNNNNNNNNNNNNNNNNNNNAAUUGUGUUGUGCUCAGCGGCGGACCUUCAUGGGGACAUAAGGGAGUUGCAGCUCCCUCACCAUUUUCUAAAAACUAAAAGUAUUAGUAAGAUAUAUACAAUUGUGUUGAAGCAAAUUAAGAGAUUACAUUUAGUAAAUAAUACUUCAAAGUAAUCACUCUUUCUCUUAUACUAACUACCUAUACCUAUUCACACUCACAUGUUUCAAUUACUUUUUUCUUUUUUGAUGUUCGUGCAACCUAUGUACCUCUAAACUUAAAGCAUUGUCUUUUUAUCAUAUAUCUUUUUAUAGUUAAUAAAGAUCUUAUAUAUCUUUUUAUAAAAAUUGUUCUUGUUAAUCAAAAGUGAAAUUGUAAUCUGUAUUUUCAUUUUUUAUAUGAGAGGAUAAAAAAUAAAAGAUAAGUGAUAAAUGUACGUGAUAUGUGAUAUAAGGUGAAAUGAAAAAUAAAUUAUAUCGUAUAUCACAUAUAUUAUUUCUUUCUCUUCUCUUCUUUUUUAUUGCGAGUGUUAGCUAGUUAGAUGUUUUUAAAAUUAUCAUGGUAAACUUUUAUUUUUCCGAAUCAAGUUUUGCGUGAUAAAUUUUAACUUAUUUAUUAAUUAAUACAUAAAGAUAUGCGGAAUCAUGUUUGUGUUUGAACAAAAAUUAUCAAUCAAAACAUACUCUAACUUACACAAUAUUUUAGCUCCUCCAAACAUUGAUGUCAAGUUCCGCCACUGAUUGCGCUUGAGCUUUACCAGAGUUUUUAUCCAUUUGCACCAAUUUUUUCCUUUAUCGCAUUUUUACUCAUAUUUUUCUUCCUAUCUUUAUAUAUUUUGUAUCAUAUUAUUAUUUCUCUUUUUAUCUAACUUUUGUGUGAGUGUAAUGAAAGUGUAAAUAAUUUCAUUAUUCUCUCUUAAUCUCUACAUGCAUGCUCAUGAUGAUAUCUAGGUCUUUUUCUCAUUGUUUUAUUCACCCAGAUUUGUCUCUUAGCUUGGUUAUUGUUCUCAAUCGUAUAAAUAUGAAGAUUUGAGUAAUUAAGAACAUGACAUAUAUAGUUAGAAAAAAAAAGAGUUAAAGAUAUAAUAUACCUCAUUCAUUGUGUUGUUCACCGAGCUUUAUCUCUUGCUUGUUGUCUUUAGCAUAUGGAUAUAUAUUUGAGCAAGAAUAUUGCUUAUAAUAAAAAAAUAACAAAAAUAAAAAAUCAAUAUUUAUGUUAAAGUAAAUAAGUUUUACAUCAAUAAUGCUUUAGCCUUUAGGAACCGUGUUAUUCACGGAGUUAUUUGUCUUUAGCAUAUAUUUUUCCUAUAGUUGUGAAGAUGAUUGUUUAAAAUAUAAUAUUUGAUAGAGAAUGCUUAAAUAUUACUAUAUAUUGGUGGCUUAUUAGAUGUGAACUUUGACCGACAUCUUGUAGGGAGAUAAAAGGAGUCAAACUGACUAUGAGCUGAUUUUUCUUUUUUUUGAACAGCUAAAAAGAAUGAAUAAAUAUUAGCAUUGAAGGUUGCUAAUAAACCAUAGUACAGGGAAGGGAAGAAACAAAAGAGCACAAAACACUGAGGGUAAAAGCAGGGGGCCUCAACCAUCUGGCCACUUCUCCCCCCCCUCCCCUCCAGCUCACUCUCUAGUAUUCCAGAACCAUUCAAACCAAUACUUUCUCAAUGUAUUCCUUGGCUGAAAAUAAAAUUGGGUAAGCAAAAGUAUAUUAAUAGGAGUACUCGGGGUACUCCAACCCACUAAUUACAAGAGAACCGCCCAAAGGCCAAAAGAGAAAACCAAUACAAAUCCAAACUAGAAGCUAUAACUGAGCUUAGGAACACAUACUGCAGGGAACUAAUCUCUAUAUCUGGACCCUUUUUUGUAUAGCACCUCCCCUACGAAGGAAUUGAUCAAGACCAAGCAUGUUAAAUGUGAGAAAUACAAUUCCAUUGCAAAGCAAAUAGCAUAUUCUAAUACUGCAUGAAACAACUAAGAUGCAACUUUAUGCAUUUUGUCCACGGAAGGGUCAAUUAUUUCUAGAACUCAAGAGGCUGUUCCAUCUUUCAAUCUCCUCUUCCUUAUCAAGUUUUCUUAUUCCACCCAUCCAGCAAAGCCUAGAGCCCUGUUCCUCAUACACAUUUCUGUUCAGUACUGAUCUUCUCCAUCGACUCCCAUGUUGGUAUUGCUUGAACUCCACCACCAACAUAUCUAUCAACAAAGAUAAUAUGUAUUGAACAUUACAACUUGCAACAACUAAAAAGGGAAAAAAAAAAAAAAAACAACAAAAUAAGCUAGCAUCUAUAUAUUGUAUGAAUCUCAUUCUCACCACUCUGUUGGCAAAGACAAUGAUUCACGUUCUCAUCACAUGACUCCAGAUGACCAACUAUAGCAAACCACCAAUCUAUAGCUCAUUCAAAAUGUAAGUAAAUAGAUUUGUUAGAAAAGAAUUUUAAUUAUACUAUUUGGUAAUCAAUGUAAAAUCCUAGACAUAAAAUAAUUAAGAAAUGCUAUUAAGUUAAAAUGACACAUAUCUUAAUAUUUAGAUAAAAGAUAUAAUAUUGAGGGUCUAUUAUUACCAUAAGGGUAUUCUUUGCGUUUUCUCUUUUGAAUCUCAAUAUGAUCUCCUGGCUUCAAAUCAUUCAUAUCAGACAAAUAAAAUUUCCUCGAAAAAUUCUCAACUGGUGAUGAUCUCAACCUAUCCCACUCAAUGUUUCCCUCAAUCAUUCGCCACCCAUUAUUUGGGGACCUGUAAAAUAGAAAGCAUAUCAUUUCUAUCAAAAUAAAAAUAUAAUAUAAAAACUAUAUAUUCACCUGUUUUCACACAACUUUUGAAAAUUUUAGUUCAUGACAUUUAAUCUCUUUGAUCAAGUGAUGUACAGUUUUUUCAACGUAUGGUACAUGAUUAGAUGAGCUUGUGCUUUUGUAUAUGUUUAAACUUCCUUUUAUACUAGUACCAACUAAGAUUGUUUUGGAUAUUGGUGUAAACAAAUGUUAGCACUCACUAUGAGAUAAAAAAAUAAACAUAACUUUUUUAUAGAUUGAGAUGAAAAUCUGUUCAUAUUACACUGAACUAUCGAAAGACACUAAGUUUAGUGUUGAAGAAGAAUCAUAUAUCAUUAACUCUCUAUACCAAAUUGAACCAACAAAAAAAUUCAAAAAAAAAUUAACUCCGAGAGGAAGUGAAUUUUGCCUUGCUCGGAAGGUGUCUGUUUUAGAGUCAUAGCUGACUAUGGCAUCAUAACAAUACAGUGGUACUCUCUGCAGGAAAAGUCACACAAAAUUAAACUGAGGAUUAAAGCAAGGGAUAACAAUUAUUGAAAAUGUUAUAAUGAAAGUCUAACCAUUAAGUUUUCUAAAAUUAAAUUACAACCUUAUAAACUUGGGCAGGAAACCAGAAGCGACCACUCUCAAGACAAACAAGCAGAGCCAUUUUGGAAUAUUUUUGAAACAAACUAGUCAAAUCUCCAAAAUUUUCCAAAUAAGAAUGAAGGCUUAGAGAAGGCCAAACACCACUAAAAGAGCCACAUGUUCUUUUACUUUGGUUUUGUAGAAGCAUGAUGCUUUGUGUGUUUAUCUUUGUUGUAUGCCACUGCCACUCUUGAAGAGCAACAUCACCAAUUAGGUUACUCCACUUCUGCUUCACUUGUUUGUCCCACAAAUCAUCACUUCUGCAUCUGUUUCUCAAAUAAGUACACACUUUUGCUACCCUGCACAAAUCUGAUGGUGGAAGGAGCUCAAGAAUGAUAUCCAAGGUCCACCCUGGCAAAUC